GGUUUGUAGUUUGAUACAACGUAUGGAUCUUGAACCAGCCGGCCUGACGAGUAGGCAACAGUGCAGCGACUUUUCCUGACGCAUUGAUGCCCUACCGUCCCGCCCGCCCCUACGAAAAAAUAUCACCACCAACCACGCAUCGGCCGCUGUUUUGAAUCUGAGCAGACGGAUUGCACUAAACCACCUCUAAUCUGCUCUUCUACAAA